rnacentral:rRNA from 1 species
GUGCCAGCAGCCGCGGUAAUACGAAGGGUGCUAGCGUUGUUCGGAAUUACUGGGCGUAAAGCGCGCGUAGGCUGUUUGUCAAGUCAGGGGUGAAAUCCUGGGGCUUAACCCCAGAAUUGCCUUUGAAACUGUCAAACUGGAGUGUCGGAGGGGAUAGCGGAAUUGCUAAUGUAGAGGUGAAAUUCGUAGAUAUUAGCAGGAACACCGGUGGCGAAGGCGGCUAUCUGGACGACAACUGACGCUGAGGAACGAAAGCUAGGGGAGCAAACAGGAUUAGAAACCCUAGUAGUCC